AGUCAUUGGGAAGCAGUUACAGGGAAAUAAACUUUGGUAUCCCUAACAUAAUAUACUUUAUGUAAAUGGGACAUCCUAAUGAUUUUGUGGUUCAGGCCCCAGGUCCUCCAGCUUUCCACCUCUGAGAUGACCUCGCAGACCUCCUCUUAUCAUCAAAGACCAGACACCUCCUUACCCUUCCAGACCUCCUCCUGUCUGUCCAUCUGCCUGGGUUCCUCCCUCCAAAGGCAGAGUGUUCAAACGGUGACGCAUCAUCAGUUCUCACAGACGCUUUCCAUCAGAAAUCCAUCAGAGUCUUCUUCAUACCUGCCCAGCCAGAGCCCUUUGUUUUCCCAGCAGAAGGCUUUGGAGUCAGAAGCAUCCAUCUGUGGAAAAGAGAGAUCCCCCUUCUAUCAUCAAGAAAGAGUUCUCCAAUCUACACUCCCCAGAAAGUAAGAAACUAAAAGUAACUGACCUUUAUCUAAAAAAACGAUUUUAGUAGAAUUUAGACACUGUAAAUUUUUGUCAAUGAAUAUAGUCUUUAAUUCUUUUGCUCAUUUGCUGCCGUUUUCUGUCUUUUUUCAAAGUUCUCCUAGAAUAAUGGAGCCAUCUUUCACUUUUGGAAAGUUCUCAAAUGAGAUAUUUGGUGAGAUGUGGUCUUCCACACCAAAACAUCUACCAUUCGUCUUUCGAGAGUCAGACCAACCAUCAGAUGAAAAGAACCACACUAUAGAGAAAACAGACAUCCCUGUUGCUUCAUUCAGUCCAAGAAAGUGGAAACAGUCUAACCCUGCUAAAGAAACAGCUCCUAGAACAGAAGAAGUACACUUCCAGAUGUCUGGGUCUAAAGCUUUUGAACUGGAAAAUACUAUUUGGAAUGUUCGUGAAGCUGAGGAGAGGAGCCACACAUUGUUGGAGUCUGGAUCUACACUUGUUCAGCUGGAGGACAGCAAUGAGUGUUAUCCAAAAAAACAGUCAAUGGGAGAUGAAUGUGGGAACAGAGCAGUGUUAAGCUCUCAACUGAGGGUGGAGAGUGGACAGAUCCAAUCUUCUGAUAUCCAGCUGCCAACGAAAAGGUGCGAGAAAAACUGUGAAGAAUUACAGCCGACAGACACAGAGACAGGAAAGACGAGACCGGACAGAGAUGGUCAACCUUCCUGUUAUGAACAGAGGAGUCACUCUGCAGAGGUUUCAGAUGGAGAUCGAUGGCUCAUGCCAGCCUUGUCCCAGGUGUGUGGGACAGAACCAUCAGCAUGCAGAGCUCCAUGUCUCCUUGACAACCAACUGCACCGUGCCAAUGAACAAGUGAGUUUCUAUGGAGAAGAAGGUGGAUGACUUUAGUGUGUCAGCAAUCUAGAAGUUAAGAUUGUAGUGCCAGCAGAGUUCAAUAAG
rnacentral:lncRNA from 1 species